UUGCCAUAAGGUGGGGCUGGAGUUAGUUCCAAGAGAUUAUGAUAUGGAAUGCUCAAACCCUUUCAGGAAAUUUGACAUCAUCAGCGUUGUUCCUGUGUGUAAGCAUGUAGGAUGUUCUUCAGCAGACGGACGAAAUUUACUGGAGUCAUCCAAGAUUUCUCUUGAUAAAGGAAAGCUGGAGGAUGCUGUUAAUUAUGGAACAAAGGCACUAGCAAAGAUGAUAGCUGUAUGUGGUCCCUAUCAUCGGACUACUGCAAAUGCUUAUAGUCUUCUAGCUGUAGUUCUUUACCACACUGGAGACUUUAAUCAGGCAACUAUAUAUCAGCAAAAGGCUUUGGAUAUUAAUGAGAGGGAACUUGGGCUUGACCAUCCUGAUACAAUGAAAAGCUAUGGAGAUCUUUCUGUGUUUUACUAUCGUCUUCAACAUAUUGAGUUGGCUUUGAAAUACGUGAACCGUGCUUUGUUCCUUCUUCAUUUUAC
rnacentral:misc_RNA from 1 species